GACAGAGGUGCCGAGCGUUAGGCGGAAUCACUGGGCUUAAAGCGUGUGUAGGCGGAUCGUUAAGUACCUUGUGAAAUCCCCCGGCUCAACCGGGGAACUGCUGGGGUAUACUGGCGAUCUUGAGCGAUCUAGGGGCAGAUGGAACAAGUGGUGGAGCGGUGAAAUGCGUAGAUAUCACUUGGAACGCCAAAGGUGAAAAACAGUCUGCUGGGGAUCUGCUGACGCUGAGACACGAAAGCCAGGGGAGCGAACGGG
rnacentral:rRNA from 1 species